GCCCAGAUGGCGGAACUGGUAGACGCGUCAGACUCAAAAUCUGGUGUCCGCAAGGAUGUGCAGGUUCGAUUCCUGUUCUGGGCA
rnacentral:tRNA from 1 species